GGUCGGUUGGCCGAGUGGCUAGGCAGAGGUCUGCAAAACCUUGUACGGCGGUUCGAAUCCGCCACUGACCUCCA
rnacentral:tRNA from 1 species